rnacentral:lncRNA from 1 species
CCACCAAGUUGGCCCCCACCUUAAGCUCCCACUUUGAUAGAAUAAAACUGAAUUUGUAUCUCCUGUCACAGGGUGAGGGCGAAAAAAAUAUCAAAGUCUACGUAACAAAAAAAAAAAAACUAUAAUAGAGAACACAGACAACCAAGCGUCAAACAAGAACUGCCUUUCAGAGAAGCUUGAUUAAGAACAAAACAGCAACCAAAGAUUUGUCCAUGUCCAAAAACCAGACCAAGAUAGCCCCCACCUUAAGCUCCUACUUUGAUAGAAUCAAAACCUAUUUUGUAUCUCCUGUCACAGGGUGAGGCUGAAAACAACAUCCAAGUCUACAUAACAGCAAAAGAACUAUAAUUGAGAGAGCAAAGAUAACCAAUUAUCAAACCCGAACUGCCUUCCAGUUAAACUUGAUUAAGAACCACAUAAUGAACAGGCAUCUGGAAAUGGAAGAGAGACUAACAAUAACCACAGGAAAGUCUAGAUGGAAGAUAAAUUGUAGUAGAAAAAAAUACUAUAUUAUACUCCCUCUGCCAUCCUCGAUAAACACUAUAAUUGACAGCGUCAAAGGUUGAUCUGUGGCCAAUAUAACUAAACCAAGAUUAGCCCCACCUUGAGCUCCUACUUUGAUAAAAUCAAAACAAAAUUUUUAUCAUCUGCCAUAGGAUGAGGCAGAAAUACAAUAUACACGUAUACGUAACAAACAAAAAAACUGAUGAUAGAGAGAAAAGAUAAACCCAGCAUCAAACCAGAAGUGCCUUCAAGUAAAGAACACCUGGAAAUUGAAGAGUAUAACGAUAAGUAUAGGAAACUCAAGGUAAAAGAGAAAACGUAAAAAAAAAAAAAAUAACUAUACUGUACACCAUCUGCCACCCUCGACAAACACUAUAUCAAUGAUGGCAUCAUAGAUUAGUCCAUAUCCAAAAACCAGACCAAGAUAACCCCCACCUUAAGCUUCAACUUUGAUAGAAUCAAAACCUAUUUUGUCUCCUGGCACAGGGUGAGGACCAAAACAUUGUCCAAGUCUACAUAACAAAUAAACAAUAAUUACAGAGCAAAGGUGACCAAUUAGCAAACCAGAACAGCCUUCCCGUGAAGCUUGAUUAAAAACCACACAGCGAUCAGGCAUCUGGAAAUUGAUGAGAACAACGGUAAGCAUGGGAAAGUCUAGGUAGAAGAUAAAAGAUAGUAAAAAAAAAAAAAACUAUUCUAUACUCUCUUUGCCAGGCCCACACCACUAUAUCAAUGACAGCAUCAAAGGUAGAUCCGUGUUCAAUAACCAGGCCAACAUUAGCCACACCAUAAGCUCCUUCUUUCAAAACUUAAUUUUUAUCUCCUAUCAUAGGGUGAGGCAGAGAACAAUAUCCACGUCUACAUAACAACAAAAAAUUGUUGAAACUGACAAAAGAUAACCAAGAAAACAAGAAGUGCCAUCCAUUAUGGAAAUUGAAGAGUAUAACUAUAAACACGGGAAACUCUAGGUAGAAGAGAAAAUGUAGUAGAAAAAAAAAAUACUAUUAUGUAUUUCCUUUGCGACCCUCGAUUUACAAUAUACCAAUGAUAACAUCAAAGAUCUGUCCGCGUCCAAAAACCAGACCAAGAUAGCCCCCACAUUAAGCUCCUACAGUGAUGGAAUCAAAACCUAUUUUGUAUCUCCUGUCACAGGGUAGGCCCAAAACAAUAUCCAAGUCUAUAUAACAACAAAAGAAAUAUAAUAGAGAGAUCAAAUGCAACCAAUUAUGAACCCAGAACUGCCUUCCAGUUAAGCUUGAUUAAGAACCACACAACGAUCAGGCAUCUGGAAAUUGAAGAGAAUAACAAUAAGCACGGGAAAGUCAAGAUGGAAGAUAAAUUGUAGCAGAAUUAAUACAAUACUAUACUCCCUCUGACACCCUCGAUAAACAUUAUAUCAGUGACAGCAUCAAAAGUUGAUAUGUCUCCAAUAACUAGACCAAGAUUAGCCCCACCAUAAGCUGCUUCUUUCACAACUUAAUUUUUAACCCCUGUCACAAGGUGAGGCAGAAAACAAUAUCCACGUCUACGUAACAAAUAAAAGAUUGUUGAAACUGACAAAAGAUAACCAAGCAUACCAGAAGUGCCUUCCAGUUAAGAACCACACAACAAUCAGACAUCUGGAAAUUGAAGAGUAUAACUAUUAGCACGGGAAACUCUAGGUAGAAGAGAAAAUGUAGUAGAAAAAAAAUACUAUUAUGUACUCCAUGUACUCCCUUUACCACCCACAUUAAACUAUAUCAAUGACAGCAUGAAGGAUUUGUCAGUGUACCAAAAACCAGACCAAGACACGCCCCCACCUUAAGCUCCUACUUUGAUAGAAUCAGAACCUAUUUUGUAUCUCCUAUCACAGGGUGAGGCUGAAACCAACAUCGAGUCUAAAUAACAACAAAAGAACUACAAUAGAGAGAGCAAAGGUAACCAACUAUCAAACCCGAACUGCCGUCCAGUAAGCUUGAUUAAGAACCACACAACGAUCGGGCAUCUGGAAAUGGAAGAGAAUAACGAUAAGCACCGGAAGGUCUAGAUGGAAGAUAAAUUGUAUUAGAAGAAAUACUAUACUAACUCCCUCUGCCACCCUCGAAAAACAUAUCAUGACCAUCAAAGGAUUGAUUGUGUGCAAUAACUGACUAAGAUUAGCCCUACCUUAAGCCCUACUUUGAUAAAAUUAAAACUUAAUUUUUAUCUCAUGUCAUAGGGUGGGGCAGAAAACAAUAUCACGUCUAUGUACAAACAAAAAUUGUUGAAAUGACAAAAGAUAACCAAACAUCAAACCAGAAGUGUCAUCCAGUUAAGAACCACCCCACGAUCAGACAUCUGGAAAUUGAAGAGUAUAUCUAUAAGCACGGGAAACUCUAGGUAGAAGAGAAAAUGUAUAGAAAUAAAAAUACUAUUAUGUACUCCCUUUGCCACCCUCGAUUAACACAAUAUCAAUGACUCAUCAAAGAUCUGUCCGCGUCCAAAAACCAGACCAAGAUAGCCCCCACAUUAAGCUCCUACAGUGAUGGAAUCAAAACCUAUUUUGUAUCUCCUGUCACAGGGUAGGCCCAAAACAAUAUCCAAGUCUAUAUAACAACAAAAGAAUAUAAUAGAGAGAUCAAAUGCAACCAAUUAUGAACCCAGAACUGCCUUCCAGUUAAGCUUGAUUAAGAACCAAACAACGAUCAGGCAUCUGGAAAUCGAAGAGAAUAACAAUAAGCACGGGAAAGUCAAGAUGGAAGAUAAAUUGUAGCAGAAUUAAUACAAUACUAUACUCCCUCUGACACCCUCGAUAAACAUUAUAUCAGUGACAGCAUCAAAAGUUGAUGUCUCCAGUAACUAGACCAAGAUUAGCCCCACCAUAAGCUGCUUCUUUCACAACUUAAUUUUUAACUCCUGUCACAAGGUGAGGCAGAAAACAAUAUCCACGUCUACGUAACAAAUAAAAGAUUGUUGAAACUGACAAAAGAUAACCAAGCAUACCAGAAGUGCCUUCCAGUUAAGAACCACACAACAAUCAGACAUCUGGAAAUUGAAGAGUAUAACUAUUAGCACGGGAAACUCUAGGUAGAAGAGAAAAUGUAGGUAGAAAAAAAAUACUAUUAGUACUCCCUUUACCACCCACUAUUAACACUAUAUCAAUGACAGCAUGAAGGAUUUGUCAGUGUCCAAAAACCAGACCAAGACAGCCCCCACCUUAAGCUCCUACUUGAUAGAAUCAGAACCUAUUUUGUAUCUCCUAUCACAGGGUGAGGCUGAAACCAACAUCCGAGUCUAAAUAACAACAAAAGAACUACAAUAGAGAGAGCAAAGGUAACCAACUAUCAAACCCGAACUGCCGUCCAGUUAAGCUUGAUUAAGAACCACACAACGAUCGGGCAUCUGGAAAUGAAGAGAAUAACGAUAAGCACCGGAAGGUCUAGAUGGAAGAUAAAUUGUAUAGAAGAAAUACUAUACUAUACUCCCUCUGCCACCCUCGAUAAACACACUAUAUAGUGACCACGUCAAAGGAUUGACUUGUGUGCAAUAACUUGACUAAGAUUAGCCCUACCUUAAGCUCCUACUUGAUAAAAUUAAAACUUAAUUUUUAUCUCAUGUCAUAGGGUGGGGCAGAAAACAAUAUCCACGUCUAUGUAGCAAACAAAAUUGUUGAACUGACAAAAGAUAACCAAACAUCAAACAGAAGUGUCUCCAGUUAAGAACCACCCCACGAUCAGACAUCUGGAAAUUGAAGAGUAUAUCUAUAAGCACGGGAAACUCGAGGUAGAAGAGAAAAUGUAGUAGAAUAAAAAUACUAUUAUGUACUCCCUUUGCCACCCUCGAUUAACACAAUAUCAAUGACUACAUCAAAGAUCUGUCGCGUCCAAAAACCAGACCAAGAUAGCCCCCACAUUAAGCUCCUACAGUGAUGGAAUCAAAACCUAUUUUGUAUCUCCUGUCACAGGGUAGGCUCAAAACAAUAUCCAAGUCUAUAUAACAACAAAAGAAAUAUAAUAGAGAGAUCAAAUGCAACCAAUUAUGAACCCAGAACUGCCUUCCAGUUAAGCUUGAUUAAGAACCAAACAACGAUCAGGCAUCUGGAAAUCGAAGAGAAUAACAAUAAGCACGGGAAAGUCAAGAUGGAAGAUAAAUUGUAGCAGAAUUAAUACAAUACUAUACUCCCUCUGACACCCUCGAUAAACAUUAUAUCAGUGACAGCAUCAAAAGUUGAUAGUCUCCAUAACUAGACCAAGAUUAGCCCCACCAUAAGUGCUUCUUUCACAACUUAAUUUUUAACCCCUGUCACAAGGUGAGGCAGAAAACAAUAUCCACGUCUACGUAACAAAUAAAAGAUUGUUGAAACUGACAAAAGAUAACCAAGCAUACCAGAAGUGCCUUCCAGUUAAGAACCACACAACAUCAGACAUCUGGAAAUUGAAGAGUAUAUCUAUAGCACGGGAAAUUCUAGGUAGAAGAGAAAAUGUAGUAGAAAAAAAAUACUAUUAUGUACUCCCUUUCCACCCCGAUUAAACAUAUCAAUGACCAUAAGAUUGUCGGUCCAAAAACCAGACCAAGACAGCCCCCACCUUAAGCUCCUACUUUGAUAGAAUCAGAACCUAUUUUGUAUCUCCUAUCACAGGGUGAGGCUGAAACCAACAUCGAGUCUAAAUAACAACAAAAGAACUACAAUAGAGAAAGCAAAGGUAACCAACUAUCAAACCCGAACUGCCGUCCAGUUAAGCUUGAUUAAGAACCACACAACGAUCGGGCAUCUGGAAAUGGAAGAGAAUAACGAUAAGCACCGGAAGGUCUAGAUGGAAGAUAAAUUGUAUUAGAAGAAAUACUAUCUAUACUCCCUCUGCCACCCUCGAUAAACACACUAUAUCAGUGACCACGUCAAAGGAUUGACUUGUGUGCAAUAACUUGACUAAGAUUAGCCCUACUUAAGCUCCUACUUUGAUAAAAUUAAAACUUAAUUUUUAUCUCAUGUCAUAGGGUGGGGCAGAAAACAAUAUCCACGUCUAUGUACAAACAAAAUUGUUGAAAUGACAAAAGAUAACCAAACAUCAAACCAGAAGUGUCUCCAGUUAAGAACCACCCAGAUCAGACAUACUGGAAAUUGAAGGUAUAUCUAUAAGACACGGAAAUUGGUAGAAGAGAAAAUUAAGUAGAAUAAAAACUAUUAUGUACUCCCUUUGCCACCCUCGAUUAACACAAUAUCAAUGACUCAUCAAAGAUCUGUCCGCGUACCAAAAACCAGACCAAGAUACCCCACAUUAAGCUCCUACAGUGAUGGAAUCAAAACCUAUUUUGUAUCUCCUGUCACAGGGUAGGCCCAAAACAAUAUCCAAGUCUAUAUAACAACAAAAGAUAUAUAAUAGAGAGAUCAAAUGCAACCAAUUAUGAACCCAGAACUGCCUUCCAGUUAAGCUUGAUUAAGAACCAAACAACGAUCAGGCAUCUGGAAAUCGAAGAGAAUAACAAUAAGCACGGGAAAGUCAAGAUGGAAGAUAAAUUAUAGCAGAAUUAAUACAAUACUAUACUCCCUCUGACACCCUCGAUAAACAUUAUAUCAGUGACAGCAUCAAAAGUUGAUAGUCUCCAUAACUAGACCAAGAUUAGCCCCACCAUAAGUGCUUCUUUCACAACUUAAUUUUUAACCCCUGUCACAAGGUGAGGCAGAAAACAAUAUCCACGUCUACGUAACAAAUAAAAGAUUGUUGAAACUGACAAAAGAUAACCAAGCAUACCAGAAGUGCCUUCCAGUUAAGAACCACCCCACAUCAGACAUCUGGAAAUUGAAGAGUAAAAUUAUAAGCACGGGAAACUCUAGCUAGAAGAGAAAAUGUAGUAGGAAAAAAUAACUAUUAUGUACUCCCUUUGCAACCCUCGAUUAACAACAUAUUAAUUGACAAUAUCAAAGAUUUUUCCGUGUCCAAAAACCAGACCAAGAUAGCCCCCACAUUAAGCUCCUAUUGCGAUGGUAUCAAAACCUAUUUUGUAUCUCCUGUCAUAGGGUGAGGGCCAAAUCAAUAUCCAAGUCUACAUAACAACAAAAUAACUAUAAUAGAAAGAGCAAGGGUAACCAAUUAUCAAACCAGAACUGCCUUCCAUUUAAGCUUGAUUAAAAACCACACAACAAUCAAGCAUCUGGAAAUUGAAGAGAAUAAAGAUAAGUAUGAGAAAGUCUAGGUGGAAGAUAAAUUUUAGUAGAAAAAAUUACUAUAAAAUACUCCCUCUGCUACCCUGGAUAAAACCUAUAUCAGAGACAGCGUGAAAGGUUUGAUCUGUGUCCAAUAACUUGACCAAGAUUAGCCCCACCUUAUGCUCCCUACUUUGAUAAAAUCAAAACUUAAAUUUUAUCUCCUGCCAUAGGAUGAGGAGAAAACAAUAUCCACGUCUACGUAGCAAACAAAAAACUGAUGAAAAAGAGAACCAAGCAUCAAACCAGAAGUGUCUUCAAGUUAAGAACCACACAACGACCAGACACCUGGGAUUGAAGAGUAUAACGAUGGAGAGUAUAACGAUAAGAACCAGAAACUCUGGGUAGAAUAGAAUAUGUAGAAGAUAAAAUACUAUUCUGUUCUCCAUCUGCCUCCCUCAAUAAACACUAUAUCAAUGCCGGCAUCAUAGAUUAGUCCAUGUCCAAAAACCCAACCAAGAUAGCCCCAACUUAGAGCUCCUACUUUGAUAGAAUUAAAACCUAUUUUGUAUCUCCUGUAACAGGGUGAGGCCCAAAACAAUAUCCAAGUCAACAUAACAACACAAAAACUACAUUUACAGAGCAAACGUAACCAAUUAUCAAACCAGCCUUCCCGUGAAGCUUGAUUAAGAACCACACAGAGAUCAGGCAUCUGCAAAUUGAUGAGAACAACAGUAAGCACGCGAUAGUCUAGGGAGAAGAUAAAAUGUUGUAAAAAAAAAUACUAUUCGAUACUCCCUCUGCCACACUCGAUAUUAACAGCGUCAAAGGUUUAUCUUCCGAUAACCAGAUUAGCCCCACCUUAAGCUCCUUCUUUUAAUACUUAAUUUUUAUCUCCUGUCAUAGGGUGAGGCAGAAAACAAUAUCCACGUCUACGUAACAAACAAAAAAUUGUUGAAACUGACAAAAGAUAACCAAGCAUCAAACCAGAAGUGCCUUCCAGUUAAGAACCACUGAACCACACAACGAAUCAUCAGACAUCUGGAGAUUGAAGAGUAUAACUAUAAGCACGGGAAACUUUAGGUAGAAGAGAAAAUGUAGUAGAAAAAAAAUACUACUCCAUGUACUCUUCCUAUUGCCACCCUUGAUUAACAAUAUACCAAUGACAGCAUCAAAGAUUUUUCCGUGCCAAAAACCAGACCAAGAUAGCCCCCACAUUAAGCUCCUAUUGUGAUAGAAUCAAAACCUAUUUUGUAUCUCCUGUCACAGAGUGAGGCCCAAAACAAUAUCGAGUCUACAUAACAACAAAAGAACUAAAAUAAAGAGAGCAAAGGUAACCAAUUAUCAAACCAGAACAGCCUUCCAGUGAAGCUAGAUUAAGAAGCUCAGAGCGAUCAAGCAUCUGAAAAUUGAUGAGAACGGUAAGCAAGGGCAAGUCUAGGUAGAGGAUAAAAUGUUGUAAAAAAAUUACUAUACUAUACUUCCUCUGCAACCCUUGAUAAAAACACAAUAUCAAUUUGUCAGCGUCAAAUGUUGGUCCGUGGCCAACAACCAGACCAAGAUUAGCACCACCAUAAGUUCCUAAUUUGAUAGAAUCAAAACAUAAUUUUUAUCUCCUGUCAUAGGGUGAGGCAGAAAACAUAAAUUCAUCAUGAUGAUCUUGAGGCUCCUCACCAGCGAUUAAUCUGUGGCCAGAGAAGAGAACAAUUGAGUAAAUUCAUAACUAUCAGCGUUUCCACCAACUGCCGAUAACCAUCAAACUAUCAGCGCGAAAGGAAAAGGACAAAAUAAACCUUCUGGCUUGAGAGAUCACGAGCUAUCCAAUCGGUUGCCCUACAGAUACAAACGAAAGUAAGCCCCGAUAACCAAUACGGCAGAGGAAAUCAUGAUCUAAAUAGACCGUCAAAACUUGAACUAUAAAAUCUGCACUCGUUGCGAAUAACUGAAUAUUAACCCAAAUCAGCAGAAGGAAUCACAAUAACCGAUCUACACAAAUCAAAUACGUCAAAGUAGAUUGAACAGAAAUCCUCCGCUAGGUCAUCUAUCCUCGCCGCCAUAUGUCAUACCAGACAGGGAAGGCUAAUGGAAAUCGCAACACAAGGAGAGAGUAACCCGAUCGAAAACACAAAACUUAAUCGCCAACGAAAUCGCACCACAAAACACAAUAACCCUAGAUAUGAAUUCAGGAGAAGAGGGCCACAAUAGAAGAAAAAUAAUAGCGAAACACGCAAAGAGGGGGGAUGGGUAGGAGAAUGUGGGGAGAUAUGGUAUAUAUAGUGAGUCAUAGAGAGACUUG